rnacentral:tRNA from 1 species
AAGGGCGCAUGUUCCAAGGCAGGCGUUGUGGUCUCCAAAACCGCGAGGGAAGGUUCGAUUCCUUUCGCCCUUG